rnacentral:rRNA from 1 species
UACGGGGGGGGGCAAGCGUUGUUCGGAAUUACUGGGCGUAAAGGGCGCGUAGGCGGCCACUGCAAGUCGGUUGUGAAAUCUCCGGGCUUAACUCGGAAAGGUCAACUGAUACUGUGCGGCUAGAGUGCGGAAGGGGCAACUGGAAUUCUCGGUGUAGCGGUGAAAUGCGUAGAUAUCGAGAGGAACACCUGCGGCGAAGGCGGGUUGCUGGGCUGACACUGACGCUGAGGCGCGAAAGCCAGGGGAGCGAACGGGG